GACUGCCGGCCCGCACCGCCGCAGAGCGUCUCUUUCGCCGCUGUUUAAAGCUGCUUGGUGCUGGGCAUCAUGACAAUGUGGGGAAGACAAGUCCUUCCAGUCGCAGCCAGUCGCAUCCUCCAGGACAGGGGAACACCAUGUCACCAAAAGCCACUGAUGCCAUCAGACCAUCUCCCACUGACUUUGGGAAGAAGAUGGAGCAGGCGUCACAACUGCCCAGCCCUGCAGGAAGCCCGUGGUGGAUGUGGGCUGAGCUGAGCCCUGCCGGCACGCUGAGCCAGGCAGCCUGGCCCUCCUGUGAGCAAGGAAGGGCUCCAACGCACCAGGGACUGAUAAAAGGACAGCAUGUCCAAGUCACCAGUUCGUUUCGUGGAAAUCGGAUGGUUUCAAUGAGCAGACUCUCCACUUGCCCUCGGACAUGGAAGCUGGCCUCCCUCCCACAUAACUACUUUUGUCUAACUUAGCUUGUAUUUCUGUUAGCCAAUAUUUUAUCUCCUUGCUUCCUGAGGGCUGUUAACCUCCUGUUCAGCAAGUACUGAAUAAUCCCAUUUAAAAAUCUCUCUUCUUAAGAGCCAAAAAAUGCAGAUUGAGAUAAGGAAAUAGAAGCCACCAGAGCGUGCUGCGCCACAGACUCUCCUUUGACAUUGGGCAAGUCACUUCUCAUCUCCAAAACUUCCCCAGUUGUGAGACAGAGACAGCAGCACUGCAGUAAUUCACGCUACUGGAAGAUAAAUACAGUAAUAAACACGAACUACAAUUCUGCAGUAACAGGACCCCUCCUGAGUACAGAAAAUUGCCAUUUCCUUCGGUUUCCUUGUUGUCAGUCUGCACAAUCACAUGCUAUCCUAUUAUGCUACCAGAUAAUUUUGUAGCAAUUUCCUCUCUUGAGAUAUUUGACUUCACUAUAAGCUAGUUUUAAUAGCCUAUAGAUAUUAACAUGAUCCCUUAUUUACAAUAAUGGAGCCUUGUAGCUACUGUAGCUUACAGAUGCAAUUUAUUACAGGAUGUUACCACAAUCCGCAGGCUACCAGAAAACAUUAUGUCUGGUUGUUACAAAUGCCAUUUUCCUU